rnacentral:misc_RNA from 1 species
GAUGAAGAACGCAGCGAAAUGCGAUAAGUAGUGUGAAUUGCAGAAUUCAGUGAAUCAUCGAAUCUUUGAACGCACAUUGCGCCCUUUGGUAUUCCAAAGGGCAUGCCUGUUCGAGCGUCAUUUGUACCCUCAAGCUUUGCUUGGUGUUGGGCGUCUUGUCUCUAGCUUUGCUGGAGACUCGCCUUAAAGUAAUUGGCAGCCGGCCUACUGGUUUCGGAGCGCAGCACAAGUCGCACUCUCUAUCAGCAAAGGUCUAGCAUCCAUUAAGCCUUUUUUUCAACUUUUGACCUCGGAACAGGUAGGGAUACCCGCUGAACUUAAGCAUAUCAAUAAGCGGAGGA